CUGGUUCCGGAAUGAGGCAUCUUCCU
rnacentral:piRNA from 1 species